CCCUUAGAUGUUCUGGGCCGCACGCGCGCUACACUGAUGCAUUCAACGAGUCUAAAACCUGCUCUGAUAGGGGUGGGUAACCUUUUGAAUGUGCAUCGUGAUUGGGAUAGAUGAUUGCAAUUUUUCAUCUUCAACGAGGAAUGCCUAGUAAACGCAAGUCAUCAGCUUGCAUUGAUUACGUCCCUGCCCUUUGUACACACCGCCCGUCGCUCCUACCGAUUGAAUGAUCCGAUGAAUAUCAUGGAUUGAGGAUGCAAGUAGGUUAGCCUAUCUUCAUCUUCGAGAAGUGAAGUAAAUCUUAUCAUUUAGAGGAAGGAGAAGUCGUAACA
rnacentral:rRNA from 1 species